AGCUCGUGUCGUGAGAUGUUGGGUUAAGUCCCGCAACGAGCGCAACCCUCAUCCUUAGUUACCAUCAGGUAAUGCUGGGGACUUUAAGGAAACUGCCAGUGAUAAACUGGAGGAAGGUGGGGAUGAUGUCAAGUCAUCAUGGCCCUUAUGGAGUGGGCUACACACGUGCUACAAUGGUGGCUACAAUGGGCUGCAAAGUCGCGAGGCUAAGCUAAUCCCUUAAAAGCCAUCUCAGUUCGGAUUGUACUCUGCAACUCGAGUGCAUGAAGUUGGAAUCGCUAGUAAUCGUGGAUCAGCACGCCACGGUGAAUACGUUCUCGGGUCUUGUACACACUGCCCGUCACGCCAUGGGAAUUGGUUUCACUCGAAGCUAACGACCUAACCGCAAGGAGGGAGUUAUUUAAAGUGGGAUCGGUGACUGGGGUGAAGUCGUAACAAGGUAGCAGUAGGGGAAUCUGCAGCUGGAUUACCUCCUUAGGCUU
rnacentral:rRNA from 1 species